AAUUAAACAAACCAAAUGGCAUCACUGGUGGUUCUUUUUUCCACUCCGCUAAACUGUCAUCUCAAACAAAAACAAAUGGAUCAUACAACUGCUAUGAAUACAUUCGACUCGUUUGCUUCCAUCAAUCGGUAAGUGAGAAAGAUGAUUUCUCCCAUCAGUGCGGAUUUCCACUUCUAUCACAGCAGCCAACAACAUCCGUUUUCCUGCAGCAGUAACCUAUAACCCCUGUUGGCAAUGCCGGGGGACAGCAUCAACAGCAGCAGCAGCAGAAUUUGACCAUGGUAUGGUAUUGCGAAGAACUUUCCCCAUUAGAGGUUCCGUGCUUCGCGCACAUUCAAAAUCCUCUUCAGACACGAAAACUCAACGACAAGGAGGUAUUUAUCAACUUGCUCAGCUGAAUUACCACCCGGAGGAACCCGAAUGCACUGAUUCCGUUGUAUAGUAGAAUGAAAAUAGGCGAGGUAAGCGAACGUAAUCGCAUGAUAUUUUAAUAGUUCGCAUUUUUAUCCGGAUCAUACAACUGCUAUGAAUACAUCCGACUCAAUCAAUCGGCGAGUGAGAAAGAUGAUUUCCCUCAUCACCACAUUGCUUAUUUCCACUUCUGUCACGCCAGCCAACAGCAUCAGCUUUCCCGCAGCAGUAUCCUUUAAGUCCAGGGUGCUAUUCCGGGGAACAGCAUCAUCAGUAACAGCAGCAGGACCUGGCCAUCGAUAGUAUUUCGAGCAAUUUUCCCCAUCGGAGAUCCCGUGCUUCACGCACAUUGAAGAAACCUCCUCAGCCACAUAUGUGUGUCAAGGAGAAAAAGGAGCUGGAUUCGAAUCGUCAAUCCAGACAACCCGAAUGCACCGAUUGCAUUAUAUAUCUUGUUUAUAUUUUAUAUGCAUUUUGUGUUUUUUUGAAUAAAAUGAUUAAAAUCGA